UAUGAAGGGGGCUAGGCGUUGCUCGGAAUUACUGGGCGUAAAGGCGCGUAGGCGGCACUGUUAGUCAGGCGUGAAAUUCCUGGGCUCAACCUGGGGACUGCGCUUGAUACGGCAGAGCUAGAGGAUGGAAGAGGCUCGCGGAAUUCCCAGUGUAGAGGUGAAAUUCGUAGAUAUCGGAAGGAACACCAGUGGCGAAAGCGGCUUCCUGGUCCAGCACCGACGUCAGCACGAAAGCGUGGGGAGCAAACAGG
rnacentral:rRNA from 1 species